UACAGAGGUCUCAAGCGUUGUUCGGAUUCAUUGGGCGUAAAGGGUGUGUAGGUGGCGCGCUAAGUCGGGUGUGAAAUUUCGGAGCUUAACUCCGAAACUGCAUUCGAUACUGGCGUGCUUGAGGACUGGAGAGGAGACUGGAAUUUACGGUGUAGCAGUGAAAUGCGUAGAUAUCGUAAGGAACACCAGUGGCGAAGGCGGCUCACUGGCCCGAUACUGACGCUGAGGCACGAAAGCGUGGGGAGCAAACAGG
rnacentral:rRNA from 1 species